GACGAGCAGAGAAACCAGGCUGUCCCAUCCCAGGGGACUCUGACUACAGCCACUGCUGCAGAGAUGACAACCUGGUCAAGACCAGGACAAUUGCAGCUCUCCUUAGAUUCUUAGCAUACUGGAGAAGGAGAGGCACUUUGCUUUCUCUGGAAUCACUGGCUACUGUGAACAAUGAGAGCUACAUGUGAACAUCUUUGCCUGGAAAUGAGACCAAUGUGCCUGGGGUGCCUGAUAACAGAAGUCUGAAGAGAAGAGGUGAGACAGUGUGGGGAAACUGAACUCAGAAUGUUUCCAUUGAGCCCUCGGAUACAAUUCUGAUUGAACCAAGCACUCUGAACUUACCCUUUACCUAUACUGUAUUGCAUGGCACAUAGUUUGUCUUCUCAUAUGGAGCAGUAGCUAACUAUCAUGGCCACCGAUAUAGAGAAGGAGACAUGGGUCAUAUCUCAUCUGCCAGGUACCUGUGCUGUAUGAAAGACUGGCUUUGCAAGGCUUGUACAGACCUGCCAGAAAGCAGUAGUGGUCCUUUGUGAACUCAGAAUGAGCCUUGAAAAGGAGAAAUAAAUCCUCAAACCAAAAGAGACGUGAGCCAGACAAAGGCUCACUUACAAAAACCGUCAAGAAGAAGGCAUGAGGUUGAUGAUGACAAGUUACUUUAAUCCUUUCUUCACAUAAAGACAGGAAGAAUGUGAAUAUCAGUCCUGCUCAUCUGGAGGAGAUCAUGAACAUCACUGAAGAUGCAUCUGCUAAGAAAUGGUUAAGACUCCUCCUAAGGGUAUAAGAACACAGCCUUUCCAAGUCAUAGGUAUUGUUUCUAUAAUCGCGAAGGCAACAAUGAGCCUUUGCUCUCUGAAAAGAUUCAUCCAUUUAGCCAUUAUCUGAUCAUUUAUUAGAGACGUUUAUAAAAGUGCACAUAAGCAGCUUAAGCUCAGAGGAGAGAAAGCUACCAAAACAUUUCCCAUCCUCUCCAUCUAAUCUUUUGACAGCACAACAAAGAACAAAAACCUGAUUUUUUUUUUUUUUUGGUUUUUCGAGACAGGGUUUCUCUGUGUAGCUUUGCGCCUUUCCUGGAACUCACUUGGUAGUCCAGGCUGGCCUCGAACUCACAGAGAUCCGCCUGGCUCUGCCUCCCGAGUGCUGGGAUUAAAGGCGUGCGCCACCACCGCCCGGCAAACCUGAUUUUUUUUAAGUUAAUGACUGUGGACUCACAUACAGGAGGUUAUGAGUUCCAUGAAUGUAUGGCAAUUUUACAAAAGUCUAAAAAUAUGAACUCACUGAAAGACCACAUGCUAUGGCACACAGAUACACUGCAUGUAAACAAAAAUCAAUCUUAAAUCUGCAUUACUAAGAUAGAAGGAAAUUUUUGAAUCUAAGUAUUAAAAUUUAAUUGGUAACUUUGACCUUGAGUGCCACUUGAGGUGAAAAAUAUUACAACAGUGCUUAGAAUUUACUUGAGACUUACAAUCUCAUGUUCUUGAAAAAAGGCCCAGCACCUCCAUGUUCCUGAAAUAAUUGAUCUGUCUGGUACAAGUGUUGUUGUCUUGAUACCAACAUCUGUGUCAGGCAGAGAGGUACAAACUGACGAAAACACAUUGUAAGUAAGUGACUCAAAAGAGCUACCAGAAUUCACAUCUGACAUAUUAUUACAUCUGUAAAGCAGUUAGGAUUAAAAAUCGAUAAAAAAAAAAUUUCUUAGCCCAGUACAGAACCAGGAAAAAGAAUGAAACUAUCGCGAACAUGGUGUAUAAAGAUUAGGUACAAUUAUAGUAGAAUGUUCUAAGUGUCCAGACAAGCCACAACACAAACAUGUAGCUCUCAUGUUUUGGGGGUUGUGAUAGAAAUACACACACACACACACACACACACGCACACGCACGUGCACGCGCAAACACACACUAAUUUCAACUAGAGUUUUCAUUGCCUUAAUUGAAACAAAAAGUUAUAACAAUUAUACCCAAAAUAAAUCACUCGCAACCAUCCCUCUUUGUUGCCUCUUUUAGUAAAGAUAAUCAAAAGAUUGUAAAAGCUGUUCAGCAAAC